UUUUGAAUACAUUUUCUCUUUAGUGUUUCUUCAAACUUCUUGUGCUAAUCAUUAAUGUUUACUCUCCCUGAAUACAGCAAUCAUAAAAUAAAAUAUGCCAUUGAGUACCAUAGAUAUGAAUUAACAACAAAGAGAAGAUAUAUAAUCAAAAGAUGAUUGAUACCAUUACAAAGAGUAGAUAUAUAAUUAAAAGAUGAUUGAUACCAUAGUUGUUUCAAUACAUAUUCCAUAAUAUAAAAGUCAACUAGUUAAUAUCAUUACAUGACCCAAAAGAUAGAUCCUAGAAAGAACAACAGACAAGACUAGCUACAAGGAUCUAGUAGAGCUCAUGACUAGAUGGAUCAGAAUCAGAUGUAUCAGAGAUGGGGUGGGGAGAUGAUGGAUCACGACCAAGGACUCGUCCUCUACCCCGUCUGCCUCUGCCACGAGUGGAGUUGCUGGCAC
rnacentral:lncRNA from 1 species